rnacentral:tRNA from 1 species
GGGGAUUUGGCUCAGUGGUAGAGCGCUUGCCUAGCAAGCGCAAGGCCCUGAGUUCAGUCCCCA